rnacentral:rRNA from 1 species
UACGAAGGGGGCUAGCGUUGCUCGGAAUGACUGGGCGUAAAGGGCGCGUAGGCGGUUUGGACAGUCAGAUGUGAAAUUCCUGGGCUCAACCUGGGGGCUGCAUUUGAUACGUUCGGACUAGAGUGGGGAAGAGGGUCGUGGAAUUCCCAGUGUAGAGGUGAAAUUCGUAGAUAUUGGGAAGAACACCGGUGGCGAAGGCGGCUCACUGGCCCGGUACUGACGCUGAGGUGCGAAAGCGUGGGGAGCAAACAGG